rnacentral:rRNA from 1 species
CAGCCGCCGCGGUAAUACGUAGGUGGCAAGCGUUGUCCGGAAUUAUUGGGCGUAAAGGGCUCGCAGGCGGUUUCUUAAGUCUGAUGUGAAAGCCCCCGGCUCAACCGGGGAGGGUCAUUGGAAACUGGGAAACUUGAGUGCAGAAGAGGAGAGUGGAAUCCCACGUGUAGCGGUGAAAUGCGUAGAGAUGUGGAGGAACACCAGUGGCGAGGGCGACUCUCUGGUCUGUAACUGACGCUGAGGAGCGAAAGCGUGGGGAGCGAACAGGAUUAGAUACCCCUGUAGUCCCUGUCUCUUAUAC